GGGAACCGUGAGACAGGUGCUGCAUGGCUGUCGUCAGCUCGUGUUGUGAAAUGUUGGGUUAAGUCCCGCAACGAGCGCAACCCUUAUCCUUGUUGCCAGCGGUCCGGCCCGGGGAAACUCAAAGGAGACUGCCAGUGAUAAACUGGAGGAAGGUGGGGAUGACGUCAAGUCAUCAUGGCCCUUACGACCAGGGCUACACACGUGCUACAAUGGCGCAUACAAAGAGAAGCGACCUCGCGAGAGCAAGCGGACCUCAUAAAGUGCGUCGUAGUCCGGAUUGGAGUCUGCAACUCGACUCCAUGAAGUCGGAAUCGCUAGUAAUCGUGGAUCAGAAUGCCACGGUGAAUACGUUCCCGGGCCUU
rnacentral:rRNA from 1 species